rnacentral:rRNA from 1 species
UACGUAGGUGGCAAGCGUUUGUCCGGAAUCACUGGGCGUAAAGCGCGCGCAGGCGGCGAUCUACGUCUGGGGUGAAAGCCCGGAGCUCAACUCCGGGACUGCCUUGGAUACGGGAUCGCUUGAGGAUUGGAGAGGCAAGGGGAAUUCCACGUGUAGCGGUGAAAUGCGUAGAUAUGUGGAGGAACACCUGUGGCGAAGGCGCCUUGCUGGCCAAUUUCUGACGCUGAGGCGCGAAAGCGUGGGGAGCAAACAGG